GACGAACGCUGGCGGCGUGCUUAACACAUGCAAGUCGAACGAAGUGGCGAACGGGUGAGUAAUACGUGGGUAACCUGCCUUCCUUUUAGUGAUAAGCCUUGGAAACGGGGUCUAAUACCUAAUAAAGGGGGAUGGGCUCGCGGCCUAUUAGCUUGUUGGUGGGGUGAUGGCCUACCAAGUCGGUGCGGGGUAGCCGGCCUGGGAGGGUGGGCGGCCACAUUGGGACGGAAAUGAGGCCCAGACCCCGACGGGAGGCGGCAGUGGGGAAUGUUGCACAAUGGAGGCAAGCCUAGUGCAACCAAGCCGCGUGGAGUGAAAAGGGCUGGGGGUUGUAGAGUACUUUCAGCUGUGAGGCGUUACCCGCUGAAGAAGCACCGGCUAACUCCGUGCCAGCAGCCGCGGUAAUUC
rnacentral:rRNA from 1 species